UUGUUUUCCUUUUCUGACUCAUCUUUGAAUCAGUAAAUUAAAUAUGUAUAACUUGUGAAGAUUUCAUUUUUAUUAAAGCAAGGUGCUUUGCUGAGCAAAGUCAAGAUUUAGAAGUAGUUCAGCUCUUCCUUCCUCCCUCUUCAAUGAUUUUAUUUCCUUUAGUUUGCAGGAGGACUUGCAGAGAGCUACUCCUUCUCUUUAUCUCUGUGGCUCUGGCUCUUCCCUGUAACAUGGAGAAGUUAAAAGGGAGUUGACUAUCAUCUACUGUCCUAGGGGACUGGCAAGACUUGAGGAUCCAGAGGCUGUUUCCCAAGUUCAAUGGUCUGGAAGGGAUAGAAGUGGUCAGUUAAUCAAAACAUCUGGACACAUAGGAGUUUCAUUUUAUCUUCUUAGAGCAAGCACCUUGGCAACCCAAUUUUUGGGGGGACCAGCAGUGGUCAUUUCAGAGACUCACUGAGCUGGUAAGGACCUUAGAGAUUAACCUAGUAGGGAUUAUUCAAAGACCUUCAUAAUUCUGAAUAAAGAGGAUAAAAACUAACA
rnacentral:lncRNA from 12 species